rnacentral:lncRNA from 1 species
AUUAUUUCAAGUGGGGCUUGAAAUGAACAGAACCUCAGUGCCCUGUGCUUUAUACUAGACACACGUGUGCUCUUAUAACCCUAGAUGUCAGAGAGAAUGAGAUCCACAAUACUUAGAUAUGUAAUGGUUGAAUGUUUCUGACUUUUGAAAAAUAUUAUUUCUUUUUACAGCUUUAAUUAAUUAAUUAAUUAAUAUUUAUGUGGUGCUAAGAAUCAAACCCAGUGCUUCAUACAUGCUAGGCAAGCAUUCUACCACUCAGCUACAACCGCAAUCCCUCUCAUUUUGAUAUGAUAAAAUAUCUUCCACAUAUUUAAGAAGUUUAGUGAAUACCAAGAAGUACCACACUUAUGCAUGUAAUAAUAAAAUUUCUUAAAACCAAAAUUAUGAAAAUUACAAUAUUAGUGAGAGAAAAGUCAAUCUAAUGCUUGGGAAAAUGGUAAGAAUGACAGCUGAAUCCUCAUCACCACAAAGCAAGACAGCUGACAAUGGAUUCAGUGCAAACACAAUCAAAAACAUAAAUACCUCCUUUUCCCCGGGAAAGGCACAAGCUAGUUCCAACACACAGAACACAAGAUAGUCGAAAUCAUUCUGAAAAGGAAUAAACUAUCUCGGGGACUUGUAUUAUCUGGUAUAAGAUCAAUUACAACAAUCAAGGCACAACUAGCGAAAGAAUAGACAAAUAAAUCAAUGGAAUUGAUAGAAAGCCCCCAAAACAGAUGAUGACCAUCUGAUUCUCCAUAAAGAGGUCAGACAUUUCAACAGAGGAAGGAAGGCCUUUCAACAAAUGGUGCCUAAACCCUUGGAUAACAUGAAAAAUCAACUCCAACCCCUACCUUAGACUGUACUCAGAAAUAAAUUUAAGAUUCAAAGUAGACUAAAUGUAGAAGCAAGAAAUGUAAAAAAGCUUCUAAGAGAGAGCAAAGCAGACUCCCUUCACAACCUCGUGUUAGGAAGAGAUUUCUUAAAAGGCACAAGUGCGCUAACAAAGUUCAUACAUUGACAACUUCAUACAUCGUACUUAAACACAUCUGUUUGUCAAAAGACACUGUUAGAAAAAUUAAUAGGCAGGCCACAGAUUGGGAAAAAUAUGAGUAGCAUAUCCAGGAUGUAUAUAUAGCACACUCUUACAACUUAGCAUUCUCUCUCUCUCUCUCUCUCUCUCUCUCUCUCUCUCUCUCACACACACACACACACACACACACACACACACGCGGGUAGGGGUCAUAAAUAGGCAGAAUAUUUAACCAGAUACUUUACAAAAGGAGACAUAUGAC